rnacentral:rRNA from 1 species
GACGAACGCUGGCGGCGUGCUUAACACAUGCAAGUCGAACGGAAAGGCCCUGCUUGCAGGGUACUCGAGUGGCGAACGGGUGAGUAACACGUGGGUGAUCUGCCCUGCACUUCGGGAUAAGCCUGGGCAACUGGGUCUAAUACCGGAUAGGAGCCAUUUUUAGUGUGAUGGUUGGAAAGUUUUUUCGGUGUAGGAUGAGCUCGCGGCCUAUCAGCUUGUUGGUGGGGUAAUGGCCUACCAAGGCGGCGACGGGUAGACGGCCUGAGAGGGUGGACGGCCACGUUGGGGCUGAGAGACGGCCCAGACUCCAACGGGAGGCAGCAGUGGGGAAUAGUGCACAAUGGGCGCAAGCCGGAUGCGGCGACGCCGCGUGGGGGAUGACGGCCGUCGGGUUGUAAACUCCUUUCGCUAGGGACGAAGCUUUUUGUGACGGUACCUAGAGAAGAAGCACCGGCUAACUACGUG